rnacentral:rRNA from 1 species
CGUGUAGGCGGCUAGACAAGUCAGAUGUGAAAUCCCUGGGCUUAACCCAGGACGUGCAUUUGAAACUGUUUGGCUUGAGUAAGGAAGAGGGAAGUGGAAGUUCCUGGUGUAGAGGUGAAAUUCGUAGAUAUCAGGAGGAACACCGGUGGCGAAGGCGACUUCCUGGUCCUAUACUGACGCUGAGACGCGAGAGCGUGGGGAGCGAAACA